GGAUUAGAUACCCUGGUAGUCCACGCCGUAAACGAUGUCGACUAGCCGUUGGAUUCCUUGAGGAUUUAGUGGCGCAGCUAACGCGAUAAGUCGACCGCCUGGGGAGUACGGCCGCAAGGUUAAAACUCAAAUGAAUUGACGGGGGCCCGCACAAGCGGUGGAGCAUGUGGUUUAAUUCGACGCAACGCGAAGAACCUUACCAGGUCUUGACAUCCAGAGAACUUACUAGAGAUAGUUUGGUGCCUUCGGGAACUCUGUGACAGGUGCUGCAUGGCUGUCGUCAGCUCGUGUUG
rnacentral:rRNA from 1 species